rfam:Bainyik virus strain MK7979, complete genome
AUGACCAAAAAACCAGGAAAGCCCGGUAGAAAUCGGGCUGUCAAUAUG